UCAUUUUUUUUCAACUUCCCCCAAAACAUUUCUCCUAACACAUUUCUUUCAUUCUCACCAAUUUUCUCAAAAUCCUCGUUCCCCUAUCGUAUGAAGUCAAAGAAACCCUAAAAAUUAAGUUUCGGAUCAAUGCUCCUUUUAAAAACUCAAAUACAUAAUUUUUCUUAUCAUCUCUUCAGUUUCUCCAUCUUCAUCUUAUUUUCUUUAUGCCUCCAUGCGAAAACAAUGUUUCCCACUGGAACGAUUCCCUCCACUCAAUGGGUGUUGGCGGCAGCGACCUCAUCUCCUAUACCUUUGAAACGAUUCCCUCCACUCGAUCGGCAUUAGAGGAAACAACCCAAACAUCUUCUACAAUGAAACCCUACCUAAAAAACCCACCCCACAACAAGAAACCCCUUUUCCAACAACCAACCCACCAUUCAAGACUCACUGGAAAUCACUACAUGCAACUCUCAUUCACUUUCUGCAGCAGAAAAGUCUCAGGCUUUGGAAAUUUUAGAAGUGCAAACCAUGCUAAUGAUGGAUGGGUCUGAUGUGGCGGUGCUGGCUGUCAAGAAUCAUUCAGAACAUUUGGUGUUAGUGCUUCAUGUUAUUAUUCUCGAAUUUGGGUUUGUUUUUAUGGAUUAAUUUUCAGGUGACGAUUUGGCCAAAGUGUGUUGUACGAGUCCAGAAUUUCAAUAUCUUGCUUCAAAUGAUGAGUUAUAUAUCUGGAUUUGCAACACCUAGUACAUUGCCUUUGCUUAUUACGGUUUCUCUCUUUCCUUAUUCAUGUAUUUAUCUCAACCUGUUUAUAGAUCUGGCUUUCCAUUGGUCUUUAUGUUGCUGCUGAAAACUCGUCUCCUGUUCCAGUAUUUUGUGGUACAAAUGUAUGUACAUGUUGUCCACUUUUCUCUUUUUAAAUAAUGCAUUUUGUACUGAUUAUAGAGAUUGGUUUCUAGUGCAGAAGGGAUGAGUUAUCUAAGGCAUACGUGAUUGUAUUUCUUGGUGAUUAAAGUUAUUGUCCCUAUGCUGAAGUAAGAGGUUUUUGGUCUCAAAGAUGCUUUGAUUGGCUUAGUGAAAGGUAUCAGCUUCAAGCAGAAAUGGAAAUCGGGAAUACAUUCUUUGGUUCUUGAAUGAGUUUGUAGUUUGGCGUAUCGUGCAGAAUUUAAAGAUAGUCUCAAAGAUGCUUGGUGUGACAGAAUUUUGUAUCGUGAUAGUCGCUCUUCUUCGGUUGUUGAAUGCAGUUCGAAGUACCCUUCUGAAAGGUAAGGAGAGGGGCACCUGGUUUCAACAGCUCACACAUUGAAUUUUUUUUCCCUACGUAACAAGAAAUGUGAGCAUUUUAAUAAGGUAAAGUUGUUGAUGAAGAUCUCAUUAAACAAGAAUCAGCAAGAGACAAUGAUUGUGUUGAGUAAUUCUGGUUUUACUUCUCUAAAUUUUUCAUGGAUCGGUUUACUUUCAACAUUAGAAGAAAAGUGUUGGUGUUUUAGGCUGGAGGAGGAUGAUAUAUCAAGAAACUAGUCCUGUCUGAAAGUUGUGGCCAAUUUUGCAUAUUGGAGCUGUUUCAUUGAGAUUUUCUUGCAUUUGUUGAUCUUGCCUAUUAAUUAAACAGGUACUAACAGCAACUCCGAAGCAGAUUGAAAGUUUGUUACGCCUUAGUGAAGCAUUGGCUAGAUUCGCCUCUCAGAAUGGAUUGAAAAGCAUGAUGUGUUGGAGGCAUUUCGGCUUCAGGAAGUUGCAAUGCAGCAGUAUGCAAUGGAUAUAAAAACUGAACUAUUGACAUGGAUCUUAUUACCACUGGUGUUUCGGAAAGUGAAAGGAUUAGCGAUAAAGUUUGAUUCAAGACAAUCGCAACCUAGUCAUGGAUAUUCAAAUUGGGGGAUGCUCCAUGUGUUUAUUGGAGAUAUUGGAUGAAUUUAAGAAUCAGAGCCUUGGCAACGAAAUUCAUCUCAAUGAUGUAAGCCCCUUUCCACUCUUGCAAGUGAAGGAUUUCUUUCCAUGGCUGGUGACAACGUAAAAAGAACUUGAUUCUAUGAGGCAGGGUCAACAUUAGGUUUAUUGGACUGUUUGAUACUACUACUAGCUAGUUUCAUGUAUUAACUGCAACCAUUUUAACUAUCAAUUCUCUAUCCAGUUCUGGUGAUUAUGAUUAUACAUAUACACAUUAUAUACAGUAAAUUAGUAAUGUAUCCCCCAUUAGAUUA